GAUGAACGCUGGCGGCGUGCCUAAUACAUGCAAGUCGAGCGAACAGACGAGGAGCUUGCUCCUUUGACGUUAGCGGCGGACGGGUGAGUAACACGUGGGUAACCUACCUAUAAGACUGGGAUAACUUCGGGAAACCGGAGCUAAUACCGGAUAAUACUUCGAACCGCAUGGUUCGAUAGUGAAAGAUGGCUUUGCUAUCACUUAUAGAUGGACCUGCGCCGUAUUAGCUAGUUGGUAAGGUAACGGCUUACCAAGGCAACGAUACGUAGCCGACCUGAGAGGGUGAUCGGCCACACUGGAACUGAGACACGGUCCAGACUCCUACGGGAGGCAGCAGUAGGGAAUCUUCCGCAAUGGGCGAAAGCCUGACGGAGCAACGCCGCGUGAGUGAUGAAGGUCUUCGGAUCGUAAAACUCUGUUAUUAGGGAAGAACAAACGUGUAAGUAACUGUGCACGUCUUGACGGUACCUAAUCAGAAAGCCACGGCUAACUACGUG
rnacentral:rRNA from 1 species